rnacentral:lncRNA from 1 species
GACUCAUAGCCCCACCCCCACUCAAGUCAUGGGGCUGGGGAUACCAGGGCAGGGCGUGGGUCUAGAGAGAGAGCUGCAGUGACCUCAGCCUGGUCCUUCCCAGCAGACACACCCUCUCACCCUGCAGAUCACCUGGUUAUAUUGCAUGUCAACAAAACACAACGUCCUGUCUGUUGGCCCAGCCCUGCCCUGCUGUCACAGAUGCCCUCUCAUCCCCACACCCAGCAUGAGGGCCACCAAGGCCUGAGUGCUCAGUCACCUGUCCAUGGCAGGUAUCCCUCUGUCCUCCCCGCAUCCCUGUCUAGGGCUCUUUCCCCAUCUAACACUUCCAUCACCAUCCCAUUCUUGUCCCCGAGAGAUUCUUUUCUUUCUUUCUUUCCUUUUUUUUUUUUUUUUGAGACAGAGUCUCAGUCUCUGUCUCAAAAACUCAGUCUGAGUCUCAGUCUCUGUCUCAGUCUCAGUCAAAUACUCAGUCUGAGUCUCAGUCUUUGUCUCAGCCACCCAGGCUGGAGUGCAGUGGCAUGAUCUCAGCUCACUGCAACCUCCAUCUCCCGGGUUCAAGCAAUUCUCCUGCCUCAGCCUCCCGAGUAGCUGGGAUUACGGGUACACGCUACCACACCCAGCUAAUUUUUGUAUUUUUAGUAGAGACAGGGUUUCACCAUGUUGGCCAGGGUGGUCUUGAACUCGGAAUCUCAGGUGAUCCACCUGCCUCGGCUUCCCAAAGUGCUGGGAUUACAGGCAUGAGCCACUGCGCCCGGUACCCUCCUGAGAGAUUCUAAGGAAACUUCAAAUGUCUACCUCAGUUCCCUACUCCCAUCAACAAGGCUCCCCUCCCAGGCCUGGUGCGGUGGCUCAUGCCUAUAAUCCCAGGCCUAUUGGGAGACCAAGGUGGAAGGAUCACUUGAGCCUAGGAGUUUGAGACCGUCCUGGGCAACAUAGCAAGACCCCAUCUCCACAACAAAGUAGCUGGGCAUGGUGGUGCAUGCCUGUGUCCCACCUACCUGGAAGGCUGAGGUGGGAGGACUUCUUGAGCCUGGGAGGUCGAGGCUGCUGUGAGCUGUGAUUGCACUACUGCACUCCAGCCUGGAUGACAGAGUGAGACUCUGUCUCCAAAAAAACCAAAAACACCCACCUCCUCCAGGGAGCCUUCCAGGAAUCUGCACUAACUCUCCUUGCCUCAAACCCACCCCUGCAACCACAGGCGACCAGAAAAAACUGUAUUUGUUGCUCCCUGGGGCUGUCAUUAUAAAGUACUGCAAUCUUGGUGCCUUAGGACAACAGAAAUGGAUUGCCUCGCUGUCCUGGAGGCCGGAAAUCUAAAACCGAGGCGUCACAGGGCCAUGCUCCCUCUGAAGUUGCCAGGGGAGGGUCUGUCCCAGGCCUCUCUCCUGGCUGCGGGUGGUUGGUGGCAAUCUCUGGCCUUCCUGGGCUGGUAGAUGCAUCGCCUCCAUUCUUUUUUUUGAGAUGGAGUCUUGCUCUGUUGCCCAGGCUGGAGUGCAGUGGCCGGAUCUCAGCUCACUGCAAGCUCCGCCUCCCAGGUUUACGCCAUUCUCCUGCCUCAGCCUCCUCAGUAGCUGGGACUACAGGCGCCCGCCACGUUGCCUGGCUAGUUUUGUAUUUUUUAGUAGAGACGGGGUUUCACCAUGUUAGCCAGGAUGGUAUCGAUCUCCUGACCUCGUGAUCCGCCCAUCUCGGCCUCCCAAAGUGCUGGGAUUACAGGCUUGAGCCACUGUGCCCGGCCCGCCUCCAUCUUCACCUCAUCUUGCUGUAGGUGUAUCUGUCUUUGUGUUGGGUUGGGACCCAUGCUAGUGACCUC